ensembl:lncRNA
AGACUCCUGACCUGUGAAUCCCAGCUCCUGAGAGGCCAAUGUUUCUACUUCGUGGCUUUAACCAGUGUGCUCUGGCUGCCAUCUGCACAGACCCGAGAGUCUUUUCUUCCACAGAGGUUUCACCUUCAACUGCCUACAGCAUUUGGUCUCUUCUGGAGGAAUUUAAGAGGUAUCUCUUAUUUUUAUAAUAAUAAUAUUAUUACAGGGAAUUCCCCUCACGGUGCAGUGGAAAUGAAUCUGACUAGGAACCAUGAGGUUACGGGUUUGAUCCCUGGCCUCGCUCAGUGGGUUAAGGAUCUGGCGUUGCCGUGAGCUGUGGUGUGGGUCACAGACGUGGCUCAGACCUGGCAUUGCUGGGACUCUGGUGUAGGUUGGAGGCUACAGCUCCAAUUAGACCCCUAGCCUGGGAACCUCCAUAUGCCAUGGAUGUGGCCCUGAAAAGACAAAAAGACAAAAUAAUAAUAAUAGUAAUAAUAAUAUUACACUAUAGUCACUUAUUCAAUGUAGAAGAAAAAGAGUAUUAUUAUACAUGAAAGCCUUUGGAAAUCAGCAACAGCAAGGCUCUGAAGAUCUGAACAGUAAGAAAUGACUCUUAGAAUCCUUUUUCUAACCCACCACUUAGUUGGAUCCCCAUGUACUUUAUUAGUCAACCAUUUGUAACAAUCUGUUCAACAUCUACCUUCCCCGUUAAACUCUAAGCUCUAUGAUGGCAGAGCUUUUAUCUGUCUUAUUCAUUACUGUAUUCCCAGGACCUAGCGGAAUACUAGGAACACAGUGGAUGAUCAGUAUAUGUUUGUUGAUCAAUG